AACGCGAAGAACCUUACCUACCCUUGACAUACAGUGAACGAUGCAGAGAUGCGUUGGUGCCUUCGGGAACACUGAUACAGGUGCUGCAUGGCUGUCGUCAGCUCGUGUCGUGAGAUGUUGGGUUAAGUCCCGUAACGAGCGCAACCCUUAUUCUUAGUUACCAUCGCGUGAAGGCGGGGACUCUAAGGAGACUGCCGGUGACAAACCGGAGGAAGGCGGGGACGACGUCAAGUCAUCAUGGCCCUUACGGGUAGGGCUACACACGUGCUACAAUGGCCGAUACAGAGGGAAGCGAAGGGGUGACCUGGAGCGAAUCCUAGAAAGUUGGUCGUAGUCCGGAUUGAAGUCUGCAACUCGACUUCAUGAAGUCGGAAUCGCUAGUAAUCGCGAAUCAGCAUGUCGCGGUGAAUACGUUCCCGGGCCUUGUACACACCGGCUAC
rnacentral:rRNA from 1 species